CGGUCACUGAUAAGUUGUAGACAACCGAAAAAUGCAAGGUUACCAUAACCGAAUGAAGACUAGUGAAACACGUGUCUACUAUCUGCGGUAGGGUUCCCAAAUAUGUUUGUUUAAUCAUUUGCCUGAUUAAGCUUGUCUUUUCCAAAAUAUUACCUACAUAAAAAUAAUCAAAUUCAGUUUGAUUUAUUAAUAUUGUAAUAAGUAGUAUUGGAGUUAAAAAAGCCACAGUGGAGAGGAUUAUGAACAGAAUAAAUAAACGAUUGGGCUAGAGGGUUUCUCUCUCUACUUUACCAAUGAACACCAAAAACCUUAUAUUAGUAAACACGUACCGUUAAACGCAGAUAAUUAACUAAAGAGCAAUGGUAUGGACAAGUCGUGUGUAUUGUGUAACAGUAAUGAUGGCCAGCAUGUGGCUGGGAAUAGUGGUGGCAGCUGACAAUACGUCUGUCAUGCUCUCACCAAUGGGAGCCAUGCCGCAAGAACCAAAGCGAUCUGGUGCAUUAUCGAGCCUCGUCAAGAUGUUGAUCGACAUACCAAUGGGAAUAGUUGAAGCAUUUAAGGAUGGAGCAGACGCUAUUGAAAACACAGUGGUAGCAAUUAUUAGAGGAAUUUUUUGAGUCAAAAACGUUAGUAGCAAUAUGGAAUAAAAAAUCUAAUAUAUAAUUAUUGUUUACUUGUCAUUAAUGACUUUGCUAUUAUUAAUUUGCUAUUAUUAAAUGUUCUAAUAAACUGAUUUUGGUCGAGGUCAAUGAUAAAUAAUUAGUAAUGUAUUUUAGUUUUAAUAGUUAUUUAGUGAUUGCAUCUUGAAAUGCCACGGAUAUGUGAGAUAUGAAUUAAAUUAGUAUUUGAAAGUGAUAGGGAAGGGAUAAAUAAAUAAUCAGUGUAUGUAACUUUUUAUUAAUAUUUACUAUGGCAUCGUUUGUAUAUUCGAUAAGAAUUCAAUAUUUUUCAUGAAUUGAAACAAAUAAUAAAAAUGGUUUAAAUCCGAA